rnacentral:rRNA from 1 species
UCCGCCAGGGGACUACGAGCGCUAGCUUAAAACCCAAAGGACUUGACGGUGUCUCACCUCCACCUAGAGGAGCCUGUUCUAGAACCGAUAUUCCUCGUUUAACCUCACCAUCCCUUGCCCCCGCCGCCUAUAUACCGCCGUCGCAAGCUUACCCUAUGAAGGCCCCACAGUAAGCACAAUGGGCACAGCCCAAAACGUCAGGUCGAGGUGUAGCUUACGAGAUGGAAAGAAAUGGGCUACAUUUUCUACAACAGAAUAUUACGAACUGCACUAUGAAACAAGUGCCCGAAGGUGGAUUUAGCAGUAAAAA